GCCCUCGCGGUCUUAGCCGGCAGGCGGAAGCGGGCAUCCGCGCGCGCCGGUCUCGUGCUCGCCGCGGCUCCUCGGGCGCGGCAGCGUCAUGUCGGAGCAGCAGUUCGGGGGGGACUCGGCGGCCGGAGCGGGAGGCGGCUCGGCGGAGCAGGCGGAGCAGCAGGAGGGGAUGGCUGGGGCGGGCGGAGCGGAAGGGGGAGGCGGCGGCGGAGGAGGAGGCGGCGGUGGCGGCGGCGCCGAGUCGGAGGGCGCCAAGAUAGACGCGAGCAAGAACGAGGAGGAUGAAGGCAAUUCAAACUCCUCCCCAUGGCUUUCUGAAGCGGCAGCGCCACAGCGGGAAGAAUGGAAAAUGUUCAUUGGAGGCCUUAGCUGGGACACAACAAAGAAAGAUCUGAAGGACUACUUUUCCAAAUUUGGUGAAGUCGUAGACUGCACUCUGAAGUUAGAUCCUAUCACAGGGCGAUCAAGGGGUUUUGGCUUUGUACUUUUUAAAGAGUCUGAGAGUGUAGAUAAGGUCAUGGACCAAAAAGAACAUAAACUGAAUGGAAAAGUGAUUGAUCCAAAAAGAGCUAAAGCCAUGAAAACAAAAGAACCUGUUAAAAAGAUUUUUGUUGGUGGACUAUCUCCAGAUACGCCUGAGGAGAAAAUAAGGGAGUAUUUUGGAGGUUUUGGUGAGGUGGAAUCUAUAGAGCUUCCUAUGGACAACAAAACCAACAAAAGGCGUGGAUUCUGCUUUAUUACUUUCAAGGAUGAAGAACCAGUGAAGAAAAUAAUGGAAAAAAAAUACCACAACGUCGGUCUUAGUAAAUGUGAAAUAAAAGUAGCCAUGUCAAAGGAACAGUAUCAGCAGCAACAGCAAUGGGGAAGUAGAGGAGGAUUUGUUGGGAGAGCCCGUGGAAGAGGUGGUGGCCCCAGUCAAAACUGGAACCAGGGAUAUAGCAACUACUGGAAUCAGGGAUAUGGCAACUAUGGCUACAACAGCCCAGGGUACGGUGGCUAUGGAGGAUAUGACUACACUGGUUACAACAACUACUAUGGAUAUGGUGACUAUAGCAAUCAGCAGAGUGGUUAUGGGAAAGUAUCCCGGCGAGGUGGUCAUCAAAAUAGCUACAAACCAUACUAAAUUAUUCCAUUUGCAACUUAUCCCAAACAGCGGGAACUUCAUUGCAGGCCCUGUAUCGCGCUGACUUCACGAUUCUCACAGGCCCGCUCAAUGCGGACAGGGUACGAGAUGCUCACGCUCUCGAAUGCUGCCGUUUGGUGGAGAAGCAGUAUUUUCUCAUUUGAAGAUUCAUUUGAGGUGGCUCGUGCUACCUGCUAAUAGCAGUUCAAACUAAUUUUUUUGUAUCAAGUCCCUGAAUUGGAAGUAAGACGUUGGGUCCCUCCUGAAGUUUAAUUGAGUUCUCAUUAAAACAAUUGCUUUCAUUGUCUUAUUUCUUAAUUGCUAUGCUUAAGAAUCAAUUUGUUUUAUGCCCCUUCCUUGGUAUUGUAGAGCAAGUCUUGUGUUUAAAAGCCCAGUGUGACAGUGUCAUGAUGUAGUAGUGUCUUACUGGUUUUUUAAUAAAUCUUUUUGUAUAAAUGUGUAGUGGCUUUUUAUCAAAAGAAUGGAGAUGUACUAAUACAAGUUAUGAAAUUUUAGCGUGGAGUCAGUAUAGCAGUGGGUAACUUUAAUACAACAUGCAUUAAAGCAGAAGCAGCAGUAACCAAACAUUAAAUUUAUAAAUGGGACAAAUCACUCGUAUCCAUUUAGUUAGUAUAAAUGUUUCUUGGAAUGAAGUGUUCUGUAUUUCUAAAAUCUGAAAUCUGAAGUUGAGAAACAUUGGUGAACUCCUGUUUGUUAAACUAUGAUGUUGUAGCUACAAGUGGGUACUAAUACAAGGCCAAUAUUGGUCAUUCUAAAAAUACCUUUGGAACAGUGGACAAGAACCAAAUGAGAUGGAUUUCAAGCAGAGAGUAAGUUCUGUAGCUAAAAAUGUAGUCAGCAGUUGACUGUAGACGCACAGGUGGUGUCAGUAUACUGCAGGUGGCUUGUCAGCAAAGAUACCAUUUGGUACAAGUCUCAAGCAGUUUUCUGUAGCCAGGGCCAAUGCUGUUGCACUGUAUAAUUCAAAAUAUAAGAGUUUAUCUUCAGCAGCUGCUGUACUUAAAUUCUUGAUCUACUGUUAAACUGUUGUAAAUAAUGGAUACGUCAAGCCGCUGAAAUUAUGUUAGGUGGGAGUAACUUAGGGUAAUCUUUUUAUCCCUGUAUUUGUGUUCUGUGCAGCAAACCGAGCAGGCGCAGCAGUAUCCUAUUGAAGAAAGUAGUGUGGUCAUUGUGCAGUACUAGCUGCUGAUUCACUGAAUCGUAUGUAAAUACAAACAUUUUUAAACAGGAAGCACAAGUUUAAAUUUCUUAUAGCAACUGUAACUCAUGCAUGUUGCACACUUUAUAUAUAAAGAUAGUAAUACGGACAAGCUGUGACUAUGAACUUGAACUUGCCAAUUUUGUCUUUAAAUUGGCAACCAUAAUUUUGCACUCGGAUAGUUGUUAAUAAGGUGAUUGGGACUUCUGUGUAGCAAGAUAGGGAGUUAGAGUGUGUGCAAUACACCAUAAUACACUUCUUUAAAAUCAUUCUUGUGCAUUAACUGUUUUGCUCUCCAUCUGCAUGAACCUUGACUUACAAGUCAGCUCUUCUCAAAGGAGCUCAGUAUUGUUUCAUGCUCAAUGAAACUUGAAGUUAAAAGAAACUGUAUAAGAUGCAUGUGUAAAUCCAAAUUUAACUGCUUACGCAACUUAAAAAAAAAUAAAUCAGACUUUAGUGAACUAACCUGAUAGUGCUCAGGUCACAUGUAGAGUCUGGCAUUGAAGUUCAUGCAUUUGGGUUAUGAUGAUACUACGCCCUAUGUAAGACAUGCCUCACUCAAGUUGCUGAGCCAAUUUUGAAUUCCUCACGAAGCUCCUUUUAGCUGAAACCAAGUGUAGAGUUUUUUUCAACUGAAAAUUAGGUUGUUUCAAGAAUGAAAUUAAAAUUGGGUGAGGUUAAAGUUGCAGUCAUUGAUAUUUAACCUUGGUACCUUGGCAUGGUGUGGCACAAUAACUUUGACAGGGACACCAGGAGAGGUUAUAUGUACAGGAAGACAUGUGCAAAAGGUAUAGAGUAAAUCAAAUCUGAUAACUUGGUGAAAGGGCUUGUCACCACAUAUGUUGCUUUAAAGCACUGGAUGGAAAACUAUGUACAUGCCACCGCUGUAACCUUUAACAUUACCUAUUUAACUUACUUUAAUAGUUGUUGCAGGGAGAGGGAGACAGUAAUACUUUUUUUAAUAUAUAAUCCUAAAAUGAUGUGUACUUGCUUUUUCCCUUACAAUGUAUCCGAGAAAAAUUAAUCUCUGCCUGUGAAGUCUGCCUAGAGUUGGUCAGAGCCAAUACUCAUAAGAAUUCUGAGCAGGCUGAAUCUCCACUGCUGAGUGGCAGCUUCCUUCUUGGCUUGGAAAUAGCUUAUGGCUUCAAAGUUCAGAAACUUUUUCUGGUUCUUUGUCAUCUCCUGUAUUACGGAUACAGGACUCAGACGUGCUUAGCUUGCUACAGACAAGAUGAGUUUUUGGGCUGAAGAAGUCUGUUUUACAGGACAACAUACAAAGAAAUGGGAGAGAGGAUGCUACACAAUGUGUGUUUAUAUUUCCUUUUAACUUAAAACUUAUGUCAGAACUAGCCUGUUGUGUGACCCUUGUCCACUCAGUUUGGUUUACUUUCGUCUCGUAUUUAGUAGCCCUUCUCCCACCUCUCAUUACAUUUUGGUUUUCAUCUAUUUCCCAAAUACAUUCCAAUACUCAAAUGUAACUUUUGUCCCUUACCUAGUGCCUUGUAUUCACUCGCCCAUCAAAUUGCACAAGGUUAUAUUGGUCAUUCACCCAGCUUUUCUUCCUCACCAUAAGCACUUCUUCCUCUACAUAUGCUGACAACUCAUUGAGGGUAGGUUCAAAUGGUGUCAGCAUUGUGCUGAUACACUUGCUGUGCCUGCCAUUUUUAUCUCGCUGUCCUGGGAGUUUCAGCCUGUGGCAUGGGAGGAAGAACCUUGCUAUAAGAAUGAGGUUAAGCAAUUCCACUGAGGCAGCAAAUGUCUUGAUAAGAAUCUCAUAGGAGCCAAGGAUUGUGUUGGAUAAUGCCUUCUGUUCCUCAGAGGGAAGCACCAAGAAACCAGGACUGUCACAGAAAUAUAAACAGAGGAAGACUGGGUCCCUUGGGAGUUCUACCCUUGUUAUCUUGUGUAGUUUGCUGGUCCUUAAAGAAUACCAGUAAUUCAGGAAGUACUCAAAGUGAUUUAACUUGUUUAAAGCAGACACUUAAUUUCUACUGGCAGAAGCUUGAUGUUGACGUUCCUGUAGUGUCUCUGGAAACCAUUUCUUAACUAUCCUGGAUUUGGAUUGUUACAUAGCCUUGUUUUCUGGCUUUGGAAAAGUACCUCUUAAGUUUAAGCAUUUCUUCUCCCUGUGUAUUCAUUUUAAGACUACCUGUUUUGGCUCUAGCAAUUUAAAGAAUCACUUUUCUCAAAAUUGUUGUGACCAAGUAUAAUUACAGUUGGCAAUUACUUUUCCUACUCCUGGUAGCCUUCUUGCUAAAGAGAUCACUAUUGGUAUCAUGCCAUUUGCUUUUAGUAACAUGGCUGCCAACAGCAGUAGUUGGUUUUUAAAUGUUACUUGUAAUUAUUUUAAAAUGCAUUUCAGAAAUAGAGGAUUAGUUUCAAUUUGAAGUGUUUUGAGUGGUUCAAUUAUUCUUAUACUUCUAAGUUUGAGACAUGGUAAUUUUUCUGACUGUAUAGUAAAUGUGGUUUUGUGUACAUAGUUCUUCCAAAAAUAAAGGUUUUCCUCCUAGGAAUCUUAAACU